CACAUGCAGUCGAACGAUGAAGCCCAGCUUGCUGGGUGGAUUAGUGGCGAACGGGUGAGUAACACGUGAGUAACCUGCCCUUAACUCUGGGAUAAGCCUGGGAAACUGGGUCUAAUACCGGAUAGGAGCGCCGACCGCAUGGUGGGUGUUGGAAAGAUUUAUCGGUUUUGGAUGGACUCGCGGCCUAUCAGCUUGUUGGUGAGGUAAUGGCUCACCAAGGCGACGACGGGUAGCCGGCCUGAGAGGGUGACCGGCCACACUGGGACUGAGACACGGCCCAGACUCCUACGGGAGGCAGCAGUGGGGAAUAUUGCACAAUGGGCGCAAGCCUGAUGCAGCGACGCCGCGUGAGGGAUGACGGCCUUCGGGUUGUAAACCUCUUUCAGUAGGGAAGAAGCGAAAGUGACGGUACCUGCAGAAGAAGCACCGGCUAACUACGUGCC
rnacentral:rRNA from 1 species